GCAGGAAGAUUCAUGAGUUAUUGAGUUGGCUAAGGAAUAGUUGGAGCAUAUAAUGCAAACCUAAAGUCCAAGACAACAUACAAUAUGGCGAUAGCCUCAAUUUUUUGGAGUUUAUAAAAUUGGAAGUACAAUGUCAAGUAAUUGGAGUAAAUUGUGUGAGAGUUGAAUUUUAAUAAACUUUUAUUUGUGUUU